UUCUUAGAUCAUGCCAUGCCAGCUCUGAGAUCCGUAGACCAUGCCACGCUGCACCUCCUCUAGUCCCAUUGAAACAUACUGAGCCACACCAGUCCAGGGAGCAGACAUCUAGUUUGCAAACAUCCCUCCUGCGUAAUAUAUUAACAAAACAGGAAAUGAUGAUGGACCAACUGCGAAUCAUCUUCAAGACCCUGCAAAGUAUGAAAUCGACUGAUGAGUCAGAGACAGACCUCGCUCGAAAUUUGUUGCCACUUAAAGAUGUCAGUUCUCUUCAGGACAUGGAGGAACAACUGCAAAGUAAUCCUGACCUCCAAAAACAGUUGGUACACGCACUGGCUCUCAAAGGUGGGGUGGAUGUUCAUGAGUGCAUUUGGAGGAUUAUGCAUGGACUGGUUACUAACGCUUUGGCCAAAAAAAUCAAUAUGAGAGGAAUAAAUGGAAAAAUUGGUUUCCAGCGCUUACGUUUACG